CAUAUUCCUUUGGAUGAGGAGGCAUCCAUCUUCACGACUCUCUGUUUCCAUGGGUGAUGCCUGCUGCUGCUGCUCCCGUCAGUCUUAGCUAUCACCAUGUCCACCUUCACAAUGUGAUGAUCCGAAGUGCCUUUGGAUGAGAGCACACCGUAAGAACCAGGCACAAAUUUGUAGGGCGAGUAUGGUGAGGACAGGAUGUAAUCUACUCUCGUCCCAUACUUGCAGGUCCCCUGCACAUCUACAAGUAGAAUUGAGAGCAGAACCAUUACUUCUCCUGCAGCAAUCUGAGCUCGAGCACAACCAACUGGCGGGGGAAUGGUUGAUUACCUUGCCCCUUGGCGACCACAACAACAGCUUCACAUUCCCCUGCGAAGUUCUUGGCAUCCAGGUACUGUUUCCCCCUUAGGAACUUCAUCACCUCAACUUUGGGCGUUGGCUUCCCAAUUUCUUCAUAAUACUGCAAGAGAUCAGUAAUGUUCAGAAGCUUUGCAUGGUACAAAGAGAUGGCCUCCCCAACUUCUGCAGACAAGGAUUCAUAGGAAGACUACCUUGACGAUAUCCGCCCAUCUCUCUGCAGAGUAGUCUGUUUCAUCAAGAGAGUUGAGGCCACCAACCAGGAUGUGAGGUCGGUCACUGGAACGUAGUAUCGAG
rnacentral:lncRNA from 1 species